rnacentral:tRNA from 2 species
GUUAAGGUGGCAGAGCCCGGCAUUGCAAAAGUCCUAAACCCUUCCCACAAAGGUUCAAGUCCUUUCCUUAACU